rnacentral:misc_RNA from 1 species
GAAAUGCGAUAAGUAGUGUGAAUUGCAGAAUUCAGUGAAUCAUCGAAUCUUUGAACGCACAUUGCGCCCUUUGGUAUUCCUUAGGGCAUGCCUGUUCGAGCGUCAUCUAAACCUUCAAGCCCUGCUUGGUGUUGGGUGCCUGUCCCGCCUCCGCGCGCGGACUCACCUCAAAUCCAUUGGCGGCCCCCGCGUCGGCCACGAGCGCAGCAGAAACGCGAACUCGUGAGCCCGUCCGGGCGGCUCCCAGAAGCUACACCCACCCAGUUUGACCUCGGAUCAGGUAGGGAUACCCACUGAACUUAAGC